GAUGAAGAACGCAGCGAAAUGCGAUAACUAAUGUGAAUUGCAGAAUUCAGUGAAUCAUCGAGUCUUUGAACGCACAUUGCGCCCCCUGGUAUUCCGGGGGGCAUGCCUGUCCGAGCGUCAUUGCUGCCCUCAAGCACGGCUUGUGUGUUGGGCUCCGUCCCCCCGGGGACGGGCCCGAAAGGCAGCGGUGGCACCGAGUCCGGUCCUCGAGCGUAUGGGGCUUUGUCACCCGCUCUGUAGGCCCGGCCGGCGCCAGCCGACAACCCAUCAUCCUUUUCAGGUUGACCUCGGAUCAGGUAGGGAUACCCGCUGAACUUAAGCAUAUCAAUAAGCGGAGGA
rnacentral:misc_RNA from 1 species